rnacentral:lncRNA from 1 species
ACUUUAAAAAAUUAGAAUAUUAGAAUAAUUAUUACUAUUGUAUUAAUAAAUAGAUACCUAAAUACUUUUUUUGCCUUCUUAAAUAUGGAGUCUCAGGCACCCGCCUAAUGAUAGAGCCAUCCUUUUGCCAGUAAUAACUUACUAUCUAAGUUAGUAAAGUGUUCUAUAAUGGAUACUGAAGUGAUGUACCUAAUCCAUAUAAAUAUUUAUGGAGAACUAUGUAUAUUAGACACAUUUUGAUACUAAUACAUGUAAUUGUCACUUGGUCUAUGUUUUUUAGUCUCGUUAUCUACAAGACCGCAGCAUUGGGUUUCUUUCUUUCAAUCAUUAAAACCAAUAAUUCUAUAAUACAUCAAUUUGAUAACUUUAAAUUUGUAUUCACUGUAUUAUUUAUUCAACUAAAUUUUUUUAUUGUAU